UACGUAGGGUGCAAGCGUUAAUCGGAAUUACUGGGCGUAAAGCGUGCGCAGGCGGUUAUGGAAGACAGUUGUGAAAUCCCCGGGCUCAACCUGGGAAUUGCAUCUGUGACUGCAUAGCUAGAGUACGGUAGAGGGGGAUGGAAUUCCGCGUGUAGCAGUGAAAUGCGUAGAUAUGCGGAGGAACACCGAUGGCGAAGGCAAUCCCCUGGACCUGUACUGACGCUCAUGCACGAAAGCGUGGGGAGCAAACAGG
rnacentral:rRNA from 1 species